GUGCUUGCUUUGACAGCACAUAUACUAAAAUUGGAAUGAUACAGAGGAGAUUAGCGUGUAUGCCUUAUGUAAGGACAUGCGAAUUCGUGAAAAAACUCCCAGUGUGU
ensembl:snRNA U6 U6 spliceosomal RNA